GAAGAAUACUAGCUGAAGAAAGGACCAAAAAAGAAGAAGAAAUAGAGAGCACCCUGCAGAUCGAGUCUACGAUUUUCAGAGUUUGCAUCAUAUAUCAAACAAACAAAUGGAUUUCACACUAGUAUCAAACAAACCAACUCUGGUUGUACAAA